rnacentral:lncRNA from 1 species
GUGGCAGAUAACAGCUACCCUGUGGCUGGCUGGAAUGGCUUUCCCAAAAUGGAUCAGAUCACAGCUUCUUAACAGAGAUAAUUUCUUUACAGUAUUUUGCAGUACUCUCAUGAAAAGAUGAAAGCCUUCCAAGUCAGGAUUGAUGCAUCAUGGCUGGGAUGAUCAUGAGCAUAGCCAUAAACUGAAGUGAUUCAGACUUCUGUCUUCAGAGCACUUUUCCAAGGUUUCAGGUAUAGGAGAACCAUGAGAACACAUUGGAGAUCAGAAAUCAAAGGGCUGCAGAACUCAGGAGAAGCAUUACUGAGCUUAAAGAGAUCUGGAUUAAUUCUUGGAAAUUUAUCAGUAAAGAUGCAAGAGGACUCAAACAGUUGGACAACCCACAAAAUGCCUGGUCUGUCCCUUAACAUCAAUGUUUCCUGCAGCCCCCAAAGGAAAAAAAGCUUACAGCAUAUGUUGCUCUGUGUCUUCAACAAGAAAAUAUCUGGUAGUUGUUAUUCCUUCUUUUAACAAUACAAAAAUUACUCCUCUGUAGAGAACUUAUUUUUAAUAAAUAUUCAUUCAUUUUCUUGGUGUCUC